CCCAUUCAGCUCCAUCUUUAUGUAAGUUGGCAAGUCUCCUUUCCCUUCGAAUCCGUCUUUGGUUUUCUAACUUCUCCCUUGCUCUCUUUUGCUCAGCAUAAUCCCUAGCAACAUUAGCAAUGUCUUGUGGAUUUGCAAUUUCAAACUCUUCAGCAGGAAAGAUGUCAUUGUGAUAUGCAAGUUCAUCAGCAAAGACUUCAGCGUCUGGGAUUUCUCCUUCUUCAAGAUCUUCAUUCUCAGCACCA
rnacentral:lncRNA from 1 species